AUUUUACGCUGGCGGCAUGCCUUACACAUGCAAGUCGAACGGCAGCACGGAGCUUGCUCUGGUGGCGAGUGGCGAACGGGUGAGUAAUAUAUCGGAACGUACCCUAGAGUGGGGGAUAACGUAGCGAAAGUUACGCUAAUACCGCAUACGAUCUAAGGAUGAAAGUGGGGGAUCGCAAGACCUCAUGCUCGUGGAGCGGCCGAUAUCUGAUUAGCUAGUUGGUAGGGUAAAAGCCUACCAAGGCAUCGAUCAGUAGCUGGUCUGAGAGGACGACCAGCCACACUGGAACUGAGACACGGUCCAGACUCCUACGGGAGGCAGCAGUGGGGAAUUUUGGACAAUGGGCGAAAGCCUGAUCCAGCAAUGCCGCGUGAGUGAAGAAGGCCUUCGGGUUGUAAAGCUCUUUUGUCAGGGAAGAAACGGUGAGAGCUAAUAUCUUUUGCUAAUGACGGUACCUGAAGAAUAAGCACCGGCUAACUACGUGCCAGCAGCCGCGGUAAUACGUAGGGUGCAAGCGUUAAUCGGAAUUACUGGGCGUAAAGCGUGCGCAGGCGGUUUUGUAAGUCUGAUGUGAAAUCCCCGGGCUCAACCUGGGAAUUGCAUUGGAGACUGCAAGGCUAGAAUCUGGCAGAGGGGGGUAGAAUUCCACGUGUAGCAGUGAAAUGCGUAAAUAUGUGGAGGAACACCGAUGGCGAAAGGCAGCCCCCUGGGUCAAGAUUGACGUUCAUGCAAGAAAGCGUGGGGAGCAAACAGGAUUAGAUACCCUGGUAGUCCACGCCCUAAACGAUGUCUACUAGUUGUCGGGUCUUAAUUGACUUGGUAACGCAGCUAACGCGUGAAGUAGACCGCCUGGGGAGUACGGUCGCAAGAUUAAAACUCAAAGGAAUUGACGGGGACCCGCACAAGCGGUGGAUGAUGUGGAUUAAUUCGAUGCAACGCGAAAAACCUUACCUACCCUUGACAUGGCUGGAAUCCCGGAGAGAUCUGGGAGUGCUCGAAAGAGAACCAGUACACAGGUGCUGCAUGGCUGUCGUCAGCUCGUGUCGUGAGAUGUUGGGUUAAGUCCCGCAACGAGCGCAACCCUUGUCAUUAGUUGCUACGAAAGGGCACUCUAAUGAGACUGCCGGUGACAAACCGGAGGAAGGUGGGGAUGACGUCAAGUCCUCAUGGCCCUUAUGGGUAGGGCUUCACACGUCAUACAAUGGUACAUACAGAGCGCCGCCAACCCGCGAGGGGGAGCUAAUCGCAGAAAGUGUAUCGUAGUCCGGAUUGUAGUCUGCAACUCGACUGCAUGAAGUUGGAAUCGCUAGUAAUCGCGGAUCAGCAUGUCGCGGUGAAUACGUUCCCGGGUCU
rnacentral:rRNA from 1 species